rnacentral:ncRNA from 1 species
UUCAUCAAGAGUAGCCGAGGGACUGGCCCAAUGAAGCUACGGCAACCACACUCAAUGUGAACGGUGCCAAAUCCAACGGAGUUUAUCCGGCAGAUGA